rnacentral:rRNA from 1 species
UGGGGAAUUUUGGACAAUGGGCGAAAGCCUGAUCCAGCAAUGCCGCGUGUGUGAAGAAGGCCUUCGGGUUGUAAAGCACUUUUGUCCGGAAAGAAAUCCUUGGCUCUAAUACAGUCGGGGGAUGACGGUACCGGAAGAAUAAGCACCGGCUAACUACGUGCCAGCAGCCGCGGUAAUACGUAGGGUGCAAGCGUUAAUCGGAAUUACUGGGCGUAAAGCGUGCGCAGGCGGUUUGCUAAGACCGAUGUGAAAUCCCCGGGCUCAACCUGGGAACUGCAUUGGUGACUGGCAGGCUAGAGUAUGGCAGAGGGGGGUAGAAUUCCACGUGUAGCAGUGAAAUGCGUAGAGAUGUGGAGGAAUACCGAUGGCGAAGGCAGCCCCCUGGGCCAAUACUGACGCUCAUGCACGAAAGCGUGGGGAGCAAACAGGAUUAGAUACCCUGGGUAGUCCACGCCCUAAACGAUGUCAACUAGUUGUUGGGGAUUCAUUUCCUUAGUAACGUAGCUAACGCGUGAAGUUGACCGCCUGGGGAGUACGGUCGCAAGAUUAAAA